UUCUGAGUGCCCCGGAGCGGAGCGCAGCCAGGAAGGGCGUUGCUCAGUUUGCAGAGUUAAUGCAAACCAGCCCUGUCCCGAGAUGCGAUCUGUGAGCUGGGAAAAUGAAAACCAUGCAGCCUUGUCCUAGCUGAGGAGGCAGAGAGCAGGCAGCCUUCUUGCUCAUGUGCUACAUUCUGCUCUCUCGGCCACCACAGAGCAUCCCCACACUGUGCCAGGAGCAGGCACAGGGCUCUGUGCUUGCAGCACAGGCUGUUGGUGUCCCCAUGGCUCAGCCAUGGUUCAGGGACCCGUGCCACCACUCUAGCACUGUCUUUACCCAUGUUUCCUGCUUCCUGGGGUGAUCACAGUCACGCUGGGCACAAAUGAGCUUCCCCUAACAUCAAAAACAAGGAUGAGGUCAGAGCCCCAGAGCAGUGUUGAGCCAUGGGGAUAUGUCAGCAGAUGCUGCUUUGGAGGAACACAGCAAGGAGAAGAAAGGCCAGGAGGUAAAGAAGGGCCCCGAGGUGGAGAUCGCCAAGCUGGACAAGCUGCUGAUCCUGGUGCGGGAACCAGAUGGCAGGGCCCAGGGGCAGGAGGACAAAGCCCCGCUUUGACCAGCAGCUGCUUAGCAUGCUCUGCCCUCUCAUAGUGCAAGUGCUUCGCCCCCAUGCCUGGAUGAAUAAAGAGAGGCACUGAAA